rnacentral:rRNA from 1 species
GAUGAACGCUAGCGGCAGGCCUAACACAUGCAAGUCGAGGGAGGAGCUUUCGGGCUUCGACCGGCGUACGGGUGCGUAACGCGUAUACAAUCUGCCUUUCACAUAGGGAUAGCCCGAAGAAAUUUGGAUUAAUACCUAAUGGUAUAUAGAGGUGGCAUCACCUUUAUAUUAAAGCUGAGGCGGUGAAAGAUGAGUAUGCGUCCUAUUAGCUAGUUGGAGAGGUAACGGCUCCCCAAGGCGACGAUAGAUAGGGGUUCUGAGAGGGAUAUCCCCCACACUGGUACUGAGAUACGGACCAGACUCCUACGGGAGGCAGCAGUGAGGAAUAUUGGACAAUGGUCGGAAGACUGAUCCAGCCAUGCCGCGUGCAGGAAGACGGCCUUAUGGGUUGUAAACUGCUUUUGCAGGGGAAGAAUAAGGACUACGCGUAGUUUGAUGACGGUACUCUGCGAAUAAGCAUCGGCUAACUCCGUG